CCUACGGGAGGCAGCAGUCGAGAAUCAUUCACAAUGGGCGAAACCCUGAUGGUGCGACGCCGCGUGGGGGAAUGAAGGUCUUCGGAUUGUAAACCCCUGUCAUGUGGGAGCAAAUUAAAAAGAUAGUACCACAAGAGGAAGAGACGGCUAACUCUGUGCCAGCAGCCGCGGUAAUACAGAGGUCUCAAGCGUUGUUCGGAAUCACUGGGCGUAAAGCGUGCGUAGGCUGUUUCGUAAGUCGGGUGUGAAAGGCGAGGGCUCAACCCGCGGAUGGCACAUGAUACUGGGAGACUAGAGUAAGGGAGGGGGAACCGGAAUGCUCGGUGUAGCAGUGAAAUGCGUAGAUAUCGAGAGGAACACUCGUGGCGAAGGCGGGUUCCUGGACAUUAACUGACGCUGAGGCACGAAGGCCAGGGGAGCGAAAGGGAUUAGAUACCCCGGUAGUC
rnacentral:rRNA from 1 species